UACGUAGGGCGCAAGCGUUAUCCGGAAUUAUUGGGCGUAAAGAGCUCGUAGGCGGUUUGUCGCGUCUGCCGUGAAAGUCCGGGGGCUCAACUCCGGAUCUGCGGUGGGUACGGGCAGACUAGAGUGAUGUAGGGGAGACUGGAAUUCCUGGUGUAGCGGUGAAAUGCGCAGACUAUCAGGAGGAACACCGAUGGCGAAGGCAGGUCUCUGGGCAUUAACUGACGCUGAGGAGCGAAAGCAUGGGGAGCGAACAGG
rnacentral:rRNA from 1 species